rnacentral:rRNA from 1 species
ACGCUGUAAACGAUGAGUACUAGGUGUCGGGGGUUACCCCCUUCGGUGCCGCAGCUAACGCAUUAAGUACUCCGCCUGGGAAGUACGCUCGCAAGAGUGAAACUCAAAGGAAUUGACGGGGACCCGCCCAAGUAGCGGAGCAUGUGGUUUAAUUCGAAGCAACGCGAAGAACCUUACCUAAGCUUGACAUCCCAAUGACAUCUCCUUAAUCGGAGAGUACCCUUCGGGGACAUUGGUGACAGGUGGUGCAUGGUUGUCGUCAGCUCGUGUCGUGAGAUGUUGGGUUAAGUCCCGCAACGAGCGCAACCCUUGUCUUUAGUUGCCAUCAUUAAGUUGGGCACUCUAGAGAGACUGCCA